rnacentral:misc_RNA from 1 species
GAUGAAGAACGUAGCGAAAUGCGGUAAGUAAUGUGAAUUGCAGAAUUCAGUGAAUCAUCGAAUCUUUGAACGCACCUUGCGCUCCUUGGUAUUCCGAGGAGCAUGCCUGUUUGAGUGUCAUUAAAUUCUCAACCUCACCCGUUUUCUGAACGGGUCGAGGCUUGGAUGUGGGGGUUUGUGCAGGCUGCCUCACUGGCGGUCUGCUCCCCUGAAAUGCAUUAGCGAGGUUCAUGCUGAACUUCCGUCUAUUGGUGUGAUAAUUAUCUACGCCGUGGACGAGGAUCAGACUCGCUUCUAACUGUCCGCGAGGACAAUACCUUGACAAUUUGACCUCAAAUCAGGUAGGACUACCCGCUGAACUUAAGCAUAUCAAUAAGCGGAGGA